GAUGAACGCUAGCGGCAGGCUUAAUACAUGCAAGUCGAGGGGCAUCAAGGUACACGAAAGUGUAUUGUUGGCGACCGGCGGACGGGUGAGUAAUAGGUAGGUAACCUACCUCAUACUGAGGCAUAGCAGGGAGAAAUUCCAGGUAAUUCCUCAUGAGGUUAUAUGACACAUGUGAUAUAAUCAAAGGUAUCGCAAGGUACUGGUAUGAGAUGGGCUUACUGACCAUUAGCUAGUUGGUGAGAUAAGAGCUCACCAAGGCGAAGAUGGUUAGGGGUUUUGAGAGAGAGAUCCCCCACAUUGGAACUGAGAUACGGUCCAGACUCCUACGGGAGGCAGCAGUAGGGAAUAUUGGGCAAUGGGCGGAAGCCUGACCCAGCCAUGCCGCGUGAAGGAAGACGGCCUUAUGGGUUGUAAAACUUCUUUACUAUGCGACUAACUAGAUUUACGAGAUAAUUCUAUAGAAUGUAGCAUAGACAAAAAGCACCGGA
rnacentral:rRNA from 1 species